GGAAAUUUGGGUCUAUUUUUUAUUGGUCUUAUUGAUUAGGCCCAAUUUGAAAUAAGCCUAAACAUUGAUUCCAUACCAUGUUCCCCAUUUGACCUAACCUAAUCCCUACCUCUACCUAAUAAUACCUACACCCAAAAUAAAGACAAAAACAAAAAUACAAAGCAGCAAAAGAGCCUAGACAAAAGCAAAAACGACAUCCUUCACCUUCAUUGGUGGUAGAUCCCAAAAAAAAUAAUCUGAACCCUAGCCAUGAGACUUUUUCUUCUUCCUAAAAC
rnacentral:lncRNA from 1 species